ensembl:lncRNA
ACUAGACACCACCUUCGAGGACACGUCGUCUGACCUGCUGCUCUACAGCAACGGCACCAUGAUACACACGGUGGUCAUUAAUGCGGACGUGAACUGUGAAGUCAACAUGUUCAACUACCCGUUCGCCGCUGAUUCGUGCCCUGUUGCGAUCCAGACGUGGAGCGUUGACGGGUGCGGUACACAGUUGACAAUUGGUAAACUGGACAUUAGUGAUGGUUCACAUGGAGAUUGGGAAACAGAGACAGCAAGCUUGCUACAAGUUUCAGAAGAUCGCAACUACAUCAUGGUAAGUUUCUGAACAGGCCUUUUUUUUAUAAUUAGCAUAGGAAAUCAUUCACCUAAAGCAAUGUAUUAUUAGAUAAUAAUAUUAAAUAAAUGAAAACUUAAUGAAUAAUAAAUAAUAAGUUCUACCUACUAUGUUCCCCAGGUGAUGCUGAAAAUGAAGCCCUCCAACCCCUUCAUCACGUUAAUGCUGCCCAGUAUUCUGAUCAUCCUGGCUGACAUGAUCAGCUUCGCUCUGCCGCUGGAAGGCGGCGAGCGCAACGGCUUCAAGGUCACUCUGGUGCUCAGCUUCACCAUGUUCCUCAGCAUCCUCAACGACCAGCUGCCUGGAGACAGCCAGUGCAGCCCCGUCAUCAGUGAGUGACCUUUUGUUUAACACGGAACAAAAUUGUGACUUAAUAAAAGGGUGUCAGCUGUUUAAUGGUCUGCACUGCAGGGGGCCACUUCUGUGUGUGUCUGGUCCUGUUGGUGGUGAGCAUGCUGGAGUCCCUGGUGAUGACACGGGUGGCUAACGAUGGCAGUGUCUUCUUCUUCUUAAGGAAAAAUAGAAACAAGUAUGAAGAUACAGGUAAUAUUAAUGUCAUUCAGCUGAAAGACUCAGAAGAGGACGCUCAAAUGCUCAGAAAAGUGGUGAACUUCCUGGAAGCUUUAAGUGCAAAGGAGGUGAAAAGUGCCAAAUAUGAGAGGUUAGCCCACAACAUAGACACUGUCUUUUUCUGGUUCUAUUCCAUUUGUGGCACUGUGUACUUCUGUGCCAUGAUGUACAUUAUGGUCAGACAUAUUUGUAAUAUUGACCAUUUUAUAUUCUGGUUUGAUUACUAUGAUUAACUGAACAAGAUUUGCAUGUUGCAUUCAGGUUCUUAAUUCUUGAUAAAGACUGUAGAUAAAUAUUUAAUGGUAAGACAAAGGGCAUUUGUGCCAUGUGUUUAACCUCACCUUCAUAAUACUGUCAUUUAUUGAGUUUUGCUGAUGUGUACUUACUAAUUUCUUGCAUAAUGUGUAAUAUUUAAUUAAAUGGAUUAAAAAAGCAAACGUUAAUGGAAACAUGUUGGGCACAGAAUAUAAACACUGGCCCCCUGUUGCCAUCUAGUGAGUAAUUCAUCCACUUCAGCUGGAAUGAAGUCUACGUUACUGUAUUAGAAGCAUCAACAACUUCACAUGGCUCAUAAACAGAAACUGCCAAAAACAUUGACAAAUAAUAUUUAACAACACAACAUUUGCAGUGAACAAUACUUUAUUGUCCUACUUUUAGUAAAAGGCUGAUUUUAGUAUAAAAUCACACUUAAGUAGCCCACAUUACAAAAUAUUUCAAACUUCAUGAAAACAAAUUGUUUUCCCUAAAUUCCAUUUUCACAGCUGAAUAUUUAAUUAGAUGCUGUAUUAAAAAUAUUUUUUUUUCACCUUACAAGUAUCAAAUAAACUUUCAUUUCGCAAUUACCUUGAAGCA